rnacentral:tRNA from 1 species
GGAGAGAUGGCUCAGUGGUUAACAGCGCUGACUGCUCUUCCAGAGGUCCUGAGUUCAAUUCCCAGCAACAACA